GUGAAUCAUCAAAUUUUUGAACGCACAUUGCGCUUCCUAGCAUCCCGGGAAGUAUGCCUGUUUGAGGGUCAGUAUUAACAAAAAAAUCGGCUUGGUUGCAAAUCGUGACGUUUCCGGUGUUUGGGCUAUCUUAACUUUUUUGGUUAAGGGGCUUAAAAUUGACCUUUUUUGCGCAUUUUAGACGUUCAUAAAUUUUUUUUUAUUGGUCUAUUUUUAUUGCUAAAACCAU
rnacentral:misc_RNA from 1 species